rnacentral:rRNA from 1 species
UACGAAGGGGGCUAGCGUUGCUCGGAAUCACUGGGCGUAAAGGGUGCGUAGGCGGGUCUUUAAGUCCGGGGUGAAAUCCUGGAGCUCAACUCCAGAACUGCCUUUGAUACUGAGGAUCUUGAGUUCGGGAGAGGUGAGUGGAACUGCGAGUGUAGAGGUGAAAUUCGUAGAUAUUCGCAAGAACACCAGUGGCGAAGGCGGCUCACUGGCCCGAUACUGACGCUGAGGCACGAAGGCGUGGGGAGCGAACGGG